UUAAAUUGAAGAGUUUGAUCAUGGCUCAGAUUGAACGCUGGCGGCAGGCCUAACACAUGCAAGUCGAACGGUAACAGGAAGCAGCUUGCUGUUUCGCUGACGAGUGGCGGACGGGUGAGUAAUGUCUGGGAAACUGCC
rnacentral:rRNA from 2 species